AUGUGAAUUGCAGAUUUUCAGUGAAUCAUCGAAUCUUUGAACGCACCUUGCGCCCCUUGGUAUUCCGAGGGGCAUGCCUGUUUGAGUGUCAUU
rnacentral:rRNA from 1 species